AAGAUUAAUGACCUCAAGGGUCUUCUGAAAGAGAUUGCUAAUAAAAUCAAAUAAAACUCAUGAACCGUAAUGGAGAAAAUUCUAAUAAGAACAAGACCUCUGAGUGGAAAAGACACAAGGAGGCUGAAGAACCCCUUGGUUACUGAAUGAGAACUGCUCAGCUGGGGGUUUUGAGCACCUGUGUGCUUGAACCUGAAGAUGAGACGUGUGAUGAACUUCACUGGAGAAGGUGGAGAUGAAGGAAGACCACCUCUAUAGUGCUCCCCUGAAGGCUGCCUGUUACCUCAGGGCCAGCACUUGCUAUUAUUGAUGGUUUCAAAGUCUGCUCUCUCUUCUGCCUGUACUCCCCCCUUGGCCAUGCCUGUCCUAGGAGAACAUGCCUCCUCAGAAUAGUAGCCUGGCCAUGCUUUCCUUCGUUGAUCUCCAAUCAGUUCUCCAUUAUUUUCCUUUUUGUAUCAUGUGACUAAUUCGUUGGCAUAUUGUGAAAAUCUCCCAAAUCAGGUCACAUUUUAAAACAUGCCGUUGCAGGAAGACCCCACUCUUCCCAGGAGAAACUUUCCUCGCCUCAUUCAGCUUUUUAUCUCAAAGGCGUGGCAAACCUGCACCCUUUCCCCUCACUUACCUGAAGCUCCAGCCAAAGGAAGCACCCCAUUCCUGACAAUGUGCAAAUCACCCCAAAAUGGAGCUUUGAGAGGCACCUCUGCUUUUCAUUGGGUGCUUCUCUCUCUCCUCUUAUAUAUUAUUUUUCCAUUAAAAAUAACUCAUGGGAAUUAUAGAAAAUUUAGACUACAUGAAAAAGUAGGAAAGAUAUAAAUAAUCCCACUACCUAAAGAUAAUCAUUGCUACCAUUUCAGGAGGCUUCUCCAUGUCUGUUCCUAUGCAUGUUUUCUCUCUCUCUUAAAAUUUUACAUAAUGUCAUUAUGCCAUAUACACAAUUUCAUAUAAGCUUUUAUCAAAGAUGUCUUCUUAUAGUUGUGGCCUUCUUAAACACUACAUCAAUAAUGGCAAAUAUUCAGCCUCUAAUGAGCCCCACAGGCUUGGUCACCGAAGGCUGGCUCCAGUAGGUCAGUGGGUUGAGCAUCUCUGUGCGUGAAUCUCGCUGCCACUGUGGAAAUUUCCCACGGCUCGAUCCCACAAAUAUGUAUUAAUGAUCAAACCACUUACAAGGCUUUUUCAUAAAUGCACAGCAAAUAGGAAUUAUUAACUUGAGUAGAAGAUAGGAGAUAUGUGAACCUAGAGCUCUUAACAUAAAAUAUAUUUAAUCUUUAGGAAGAAGCCAAUGUGCUUAUUUAAAUAUUACUCAUGGUGAAGGCAUUGGUAGAGAAUUGGUGAGAAUAUCUUAUUGAACAGGCCUGGUCCCAGCUUUCUCUGGAACAGGUGGUAUCGUCACCCCAAAGAGAUGGGCUGGCAGUACAUAAGGCAAUUCCAAAUGCCCAUAGUUAGUUUUCUCAGCUUUGAAUAGAGCUAUAAACUCAGUGGCCAAAGAAGAAAAUCUUAGAAGGAAGCUAUUAAAAGAUAAUCUAAUUAGAAAAACUACAAAAGCAUGAACCAAACGAACAAAACAAAACAAAACUGCUUUCCUUUUGUCUAGGCAGCAUACUUAAAAUGACUCCUCACAGCAUUCAUGCUGCCUGCAGGAAGGAGCACAAAUAACAGGAUUUGUGCUUCAAUCCCAUUAAUGGCCUAAAAGGGAAUCUUUGUCAAUAGGGUCGAUCAAUUCAGGGCUUUGGACACUGGAAAUAGAUGGGAUCAAAUUUACAUGACAAACACUGUCAAUGAAUGGCAUUUUGGAGAUUUCUCUGAGAGAGAAUGCCACUUCCAUUUCACCAUGGCAACCAGAACCUCUGCUUUUUUUCUGAAGCCACAGAGAGGAGGCUUAUGUCAUCUCCACACUAACCGGAACAAUAAAGCACACAGCACUGCAUACGAUCGUGCAGAGAGGACCCACAGUCCCAGGCCCAUACCCUCAGUUCAAGUAGGAACUUUGAAUAAAAUCAGUACAUUAAAUUGAAAACCUCCCAGAAGACAAAAUUGAGCACAACUCUUGGCUGAUCCCCUUAAAUUAAGCACAUGUCCAUAUUUUCAUAUUUCCACUGGCUGUGUUUUUGUUAGUUUAACACAGGCCUAUGUGUGUAUCACCAUCAGCAGCUA